GCCGUAACCGACGAAAGGAGCGCGCCUACCACGUGAGAUUCAUAGACGUGGGUG
rnacentral:rRNA from 1 species